rnacentral:rRNA from 1 species
AUAGCGUAUAUUAAAGUUGUUGCAGUUAAAAAGCUCGUAGUUGGAUUUCGGCGUGCGCUCAGGCUGGUCGGCCGUCAUGGUCUGUACCGUUUGGGUCACGCCCCACUGUAGGAUACUCACCGCUGUCCUUAACUGGGUGGCGGUCAAAGGUUGCAGUGCAUGGGGGCAACUCUGUCGCUGCCGCUGGGGUUCCUACUCUUUUACUUUGAGCAAAUUAGAGUGUUCAAAGCAGGCAAUCGAGCCUUGAAUACUUCAGCAUGGGAUAAUGGAACAGGACUGGGAUCCUGAUUUCGUUGGUUUCUAGGGUCUUAGUAAUGAUUAAUAGGGAUAGUUGGGGGCAUUAGUAUUUAAUUGUCAGAGGUGAAAUUCUUGGAUUUAUGAAAGACUAACUUCUG